GAUGCUAAUACCGGAUAAAAAGCUACUUUCGCAUGAAAGAAGUUUAAAAAGGACGGCGUAAAGCUGUCGCUAAAGGAUGGACCUGCGAUGCAUUAGCUAGUUGGUAAGGUAACGGCUUACCAAGGCGAUGAUGCAUAGCCGAGUUGAGAGACUGAUCGGCCACAUUGGGACUGAGACACGGCCCAAACUCCUACGGGAGGCAGCAGUAGGGAAUCUUCCACAAUGGACGCAAGUCUGAUGGAGCAACGCCGCGUGAGUGAAGAAGGUUUUCGGAUCGUAAAGCUCUGUUGUUGGUGAAGAAGGAUAGAGGUAGUAACUGGCCUUUAUUUGACGGUAAUCAACCAGAAAGUCACGGCUAACUACGUGCCAGCAGCCGCGGUAAAU
rnacentral:rRNA from 1 species